rnacentral:rRNA from 1 species
CUUGGUGGGUAUGGGCCUACAGGCUUACGACGGGUAGCCGGCCUGAGAGGGCGACCGGCCACACUGGGACUGAGACACGGCCCAGACUCCUACGGGAGGCAGCAGUGGGGAAUAUUGCACAAUGGGCGAAAGCCUGAUGCAGCGACGCCGCGUGAGGGAUGACGGCCUUCGGGUUGUAAACCUCUUUCAGCAGGGACGAAGCGAAAGUGACGGUACCUGCAGAAGAAGCACCGGCCAACUACGUGCCACCAGCCGCGGCCG